GCAGGUUAUCCUCUUACAUGACGUUAAUGACAAGAGGAUCUGCUGGGAUUUCUGCUAAUAAAGUUUUGGGAAAAGCUGGCCAUUCCCAGAACCUUCCGUCAGGAAGGACUUCUUGGGAGCAGGAGCAGCUAGUCCUGC
rnacentral:lncRNA from 12 species